rnacentral:lncRNA from 1 species
ACUCUUAGUUAUCGAACACUGGGUGGAUUCUCUCUUCCUAUUGGCCCAGAAGAAGGUCCCCUCCCUGCAAACUGCCCCCAGGGUAAAACAGCUCUGUGUCUCCUCCCCUGCUUCAAGCACACAGCACACAGCACACACAGCAGCACACAACACACACCAUCUUGCUGGUGCAAUAAUUUACUGGAAGCCUUUCUAUCCCAGCACCUGGACGUUUUUGUAGUCCGCGAGAACCCAGAGCCGGCCCUCAGCAGGUGCGCGUCAGUUUCUUCACCAGCAGCGAUUGCAAUCCCUGUUUGUCUAGGGCCGCCUUCUCUGCCUCCUUCAACGUGUGGUCCCGUGCCGGUCCGUGCGAUGCUGGUGACGGAUGCAUUGCUGGGAGCACUACCUCGCUACAUAAGACCUGAGGAGGCUGGCCAGUGGUGACAGACGAAUCCCAUGCUGACAGAGGAUGAUGUCCAUCUGCCGUGACGAUCGAGAUGUUCCAUGCCGAGUCAGGGAUCCAAGAUGCCAUUCACCAACAUUAUAAUUACUUGUUAAACACUGGCUUACAAAUUGUUAUUUUCUAGAAUGCCCAGGAGGGGUGGGCUACCACUGGCCCGUGGACCCCCAGAGGUUUUUUUCUCCCUCAACUUUCAGUUGGGAGUUUUUGUUCCUUUCCCUGGUGGCCAGUAGGUAUACUUAUAGCUCUAUAAUAAGUGCUUCAUUAUGGUAGUCAUUAGUUGACCGUCUUCUUUGUUUGUAUCUGUUUUUCUUGCCUUUGUAUGUGUUAAAGCACUCUGUGUCACGGCAUGAAAAGAGCGCUCUAUAAAAAAAUAAAAUAAUAAUAAUAAUAAUAAUAAUAAUAAUA